AACGAACGCUGGCGGCAUGCCUAACACAUGCAAGUCGAACGAGACCUUCGGGUCUAGUGGCGCAUGGGUGCGUAACGCGUGGGAAUCUGCCCUUGGGUUCGGAAUAACAGUUGGAAACGACUGCUAAUACCGGAUGAUGACGUAAGUCCAAAGAUUUAUCGCCCAGGGAUGAGCCCGCGUAGGAUUAGCUUGUUGGUGGGGUAAAGGCCUACCAAGGCGACGAUCCUUAGCUGGUCUGAGAGGAUGAUCAGCCACACUGGGACUGAGACACGGCCCAGACUCCUACGGGAGGCAGCAGUGGGGAAUAUUGGACAGUGGGCGAAAGCCUGAUCCAGCAAGGCCGCGUGAGUGAUGAAGGCCUUAGGGUUGUAAAGCUCUUUUACCCGGGAUGAUAAUGACAGUACCGGGAGAAUAAGCCCCGGCUAACUCCGUG
rnacentral:rRNA from 1 species